rfam:Peptostreptococcaceae bacterium oral taxon 113 str. W5053 genomic scaffold Scaffold15, whole genome shotgun sequence.
UUAUUGAAGUAGAAACAUCCGUUUCUCACCUGUUGACAGAUGGUUUGCAGGUCUGUACCCUAUUUUUUUGUGUGCAAAGCAACGGAUGUUUUAUCCGUUGCUUUUUUAUUUAU